GGUAACUCAGUUGGUUAGAGCAUGGUGCUGACAAGGCCAAGGUUGCAGGUUUGAUCCCUGUAAGGGACA